rnacentral:rRNA from 1 species
CUCCAGACUCCUACGGGAGGCAGCAGUGGGGAAUAUUGCACAAUGGGGGAAACCCUGAUGCAGCAACGCCGCGUGAGUGAAGAAGUAUUUCGAUAUGUAAAGCUCUAUCAGCAGGGAAGAAGGUGACGGUACCUGAGUAAGAAGCCCCGGCUAACUACGUGCCAGCAGCCGCGGUAAUACGUAGGGGGCAAGCGUUAUCCGGAUUUACUGGGUGUAAAGGGAGCGUAGGCGGCAGUGCAAGUCUGGAGUGAAAGGCGGGGGCUCAACCCCCGGACUGCUCUGGAAACUGUACGGCUGGAGUGCAGGAGAGGUAAGUGGAAUUCCUAGUGUAGCGGUGAAAUGCGUAGAUAUUAGGAGGAACACCAGUGGCGAAGGCGGCUUACUGGACUGUAACUGACGUUGAGGCUCGAAAGCGUGGGGAGCAAACAGGAUUAGAUACCCCCGUAC